GAGCUGGCGGCAGGCCUAACCAUGCAAGUCGAGCGGAAACGACAUUAUUGAUUCUUCGGAGGAUUUAAUGGGCGUCGAGCGGCGGACGGGUGAGUAAUGCCUAGGAAAUUGCCUUGAUGUGGGGGAUAACCAUUGGAAACGAUGGCUAAUACCGCAUAAUGCCUACGGGCCAAAGAGGGGGAUCUUCGGACCUCUCGCGUCAAGAUAUGCCUAGGUGGGAUUAGCUAGUUGGUGAGGUAAUGGCUCACCAAGGCGACGAUCCCUAGCUGGUCUGAGAGGAUGAUCAGCCACACUGGAACUGAGACACGGUCCAGACUCCUACGGGAGGCAGCAGUGGGGAAUAUUGCACAAUGGGCGAAAGCCUGAUGCAGCCAUGCCGCGUGUAUGAAGAAGGCCUUCGGGUUGUAAAGUACUUUCAGUUGUGAGGAAGGGGGUAGUGUUAAUAGCGCUAUCUCUUGACGUUAGCAACAGAAGAAGCACCGGCUAACUCCGUGCCAGCAGCCGCGGUAAUACGGAGGGUGCGAGCGUUAAUCGGAAUUACUGGGCGUAAAGCGCAUGCAGGUGGUUCAUUAAGUCAGAUGUGAAAGCCCGGGGCUCAACCUCGGAACUGCAUUUGAAACUGGUGAACUAGAGUGCUGUAGA
rnacentral:rRNA from 1 species